GACGAACGCUGGCGGCGUGCUUAACACAUGCAAGUCGAACGAUGAACCCGGAGCUUGCUCCGGUGGAUUAGUGGCGAACGGGUGAGUAACACGUGAGUAACCUGCCCUUGACUCUGGGAUAACUGCGGGAAACUGUAGCUAAUACCGGAUACGACCCUCGGCGGCAUCGCCAGGGGGUGGAAAGAAUUUCGGUCAAGGAUGGACUCGCGGCCUAUCAGCUAGUUGGUGAGGUAACGGCGCACCAAGGCGACGACGGGUAGCCGGCCUGAGGGGGUUACCGGCCACACUGGGACUGAGACACGGCCCAGCCGCCUACGGGGUGCAGCAUUAGGGAAUAUUGCUCAAUGGGCGCAAGCCUGAUGCAGCAACGCCGCGUGAGGGAUGACGUCCUUCGGGUUGUAAACCUCUUUUAGUAGGGAAGAAGCGAAAGUGACGUUACCUGCAGAAAAAGCACCGGCUAACUACGUGCCAGCAGCCGCCGUAA
rnacentral:rRNA from 1 species